rnacentral:rRNA from 1 species
UACGAAGGGGGCUAGCGUUGCUCGGAAUUACUGGGCGUAAAGCGCGUGUAGGCGGUCGUGCAAGUCGGGUGUGAAAGCCCAGGGCUCAACCCUGGAAGUGCAUUCGAUACUGCAUGGCUAGAGUCCCGGAGAGGAUGGUGGAACUCUCGGUGUAGAGGUGAAAUUCGUAGAUAUCGAGAAGAACACCGGUGGCGAAGGCGGCCAUCUGGACGGUGACUGACGCUGAGACGCGAAAGCGUGGGGAGCAAACAGG